AACCUGUGAUGAAAUGAUUCUGCCAAAUGAAUCCUAAUGAUUAUACCCCAACCGUUCCAUAUUUCUGAGGUU
ensembl:snoRNA